CAGCCGCCGCGGGAAUACGUAGGGUGCGAGCGUUAAUCGGAAUUACUGGGCGUAAAGCGUGCGCAGGCGGUUCGUUAAGACAGAUGUGAAAUCCCCGGGCUUAACCUGGGAACUGCGUUUGUGACUGGCGAGCUAGAGUAUGGCAGAGGGGGGUAGAAUUCCACGUGUAGCAGUGAAAUGCGUAGAGAUGUGGAGGAAUACCGAUGGCGAAGGCAGCCCCCUGGGCCAAUACUGACGCUCAUGCACGAAAGCGUGGGGAGCAAACAGGAUUAGAUACCCGAGUAGUCCCUGUCUCUUAUAA
rnacentral:rRNA from 1 species